UGGGGAAUUUUGGACAAUGGGCGCAAGCCUGAUCCAGCCAUGCCGCGUGCGGGAAGAAGGCCUUCGGGUUGUAAACCGCUUUUGUCAGGGAAGAAAUCUUCUGAGUUAAUACCUCGGGAGGAUGACGGUACCUGAAGAAUAAGCACCGGCUAACUACGUGCCAGCAGCCGCGGUAAUACGUAGGGUGCAAGCGUUAAUCGGAAUUACUGGGCGUAAAGCGUGCGCAGGCGGUUUUGUAAGACAGAGGUGAAAUCCCCGGGCUCAACCUGGGAACUGCCUUUGUGACUGCAAGGCUUGAGUGCGGCAGAGGGGGAUGGAAUUCCGCGUGUAGCAGUGAAAUGCGUAGAUAUGCGGAGGAACACCGAUGGCGAAGGCAAUCCCCUGGGCCUGCACUGACGCUCAUGCACGAAAGCGUGGGGAGCAAACAGGAUUAGAUAGCCCUGGUAGUCCACGCCCUAAACGAUGUCAACUGGUUGUUGGGAAGGUUCCUUCUCAGUAACGUAGCUAACGCNUGAAGUUGACCGCCUGGGGAGUACGGCCGCAAGGUU
rnacentral:rRNA from 1 species